rnacentral:rRNA from 1 species
GAUGAACGCUGGCGGCGUGCCUAAUACAUGCAAGUCGAGCGAAUGGAUUAAGAGCUUGCUCUUAUGAAGUUAGCGGCGGACGGGUGAGUAACACGUGGGUAACCUGCCCAUAAGACUGGGAUAACUCCGGGAAACCGGGGCUAAUACCGGAUAACAUUUUGAACCGCAUGGUUCGAAAUUGAAAGGCGGCUUCGGCUGUCACUUAUGGAUGGACCCGCGUCGCAUUAGCUAGUUGGUGAGGUAACGGCUCACCAAGGCAACGAUGCGUAGCCGACCUGAGAGGGUGAUCGGCCACACUGGGACUGAGACACGGCCCAGACUCCUACGGGAGGCAGCAGUAGGGAAUCUUCCGCAAUGGACGCAAGUCUGACGGAGCAACGCCGCGUGAGUGACGAAGGUUUUCGGAUCGUAAAACUCUGUUGUGAGGGAAGAAUACGUACCAACUAACUAUUGGUACCUUGACGGUACCUCACCAGAAAGCCACGGCUAACUACGUGCCAGCCGCCGCGGUAA